rnacentral:rRNA from 1 species
GGGUGAGUAACACGUAGGUAAUUUGCCCUUGGGUGGUGAUAACUUUCCGAAAGGAAGGCUAAUACAGCAUGAGACCACGAUUUCGAAAGGGAUUGAGGUCAAAGCCGGCCAAUUCAUGAAAGCUGGCGCCUGAGGAUGAGCCUGCGGCCCAUCAGCUAGUUGGUAGGGUAAUGGCCUACCAAGGCGAAGACGGGUAGCUGGUCUGAGAGGAUGAUCAGCCACACUGGAACUGAGACACGGUCCAGACUCCUACGGGAGGCAGCAGUGGGGAAUCUUGCGCAAUGGGCGAAAGCCUGACGCAGCGACGCCGCGUGAGUGAUGAAGGCCUUCGGGUUGUAAAGCUCUGUGGAGGGGGACGAAUAAGGGCUGGCUAAUAUCCAGCCUGAUGACGGUACCCCUUUAGCAAGCACCGGCUAACUCUGUGCCAGCAGCCGCGGUAA